rnacentral:tRNA from 2 species
GGGCCCGUGGCCUAGUCAGGAUAGGGCGCCGGCCUUCGAAGCCGGGGGUCGUGGGUUCAAAUCCCUCCGGGCCCGCCA